GUGAGGAGCAUCGCGGACGAGCGCCGCCGCCUCCCAAUCUGCCGAGGGGUUCCCGCCCCCAGGGUAACCAAAGCUCCCUCUUAAAGGCGCCCGCCGCGUUUUAGGACCGGAGCUCUCAUCAACACUUGUGAUCGCUGCUGAGACCGCGGUGAGGUAUGUGCAGUGUGGAGAUGCCGCAGAGACACACCGCACCAGCAGCCAUCGACACGUUAGGAACAGACCAAGGAUGAAUCUGACAGGGGAACAAACCAGAAACAAAAGGAAAAAAGCUUUCUUCUUUUCCCUUCCACUGCUGCCAUCAGCCAUGCCGUGGAGAAACUCCCCUCCUCAGCCCUGGACCUACGCUCUCCAGAC